CUACGGGGGGCUGCAGUAAGGAAUAUUGCGCAAUGGAGGCAACUCUGACGCAGCCAUGCCGCGUGCAGGACUGAAGGCCUUAUGGGUCGUAAACUGCUUUUAUUUAGGAAUAAACUCUUGUACGUGUACGAGACUGAAGGUACUAAAUGAAUAAGCACCGGCUAACUCCGUGCCAGCAGCCGCGGUAAUACGGAGGGUGCAAGCGUUAUCCGGAUUUAUUGGGUUUAAAGGGUGCGCAGGCGGACUAUUAAGUCAGAGGUGAAAUCCCGGAGCUCAACUUCGGAACUGCCUUUGAUACUGGUAGUCUUGAAUACGGUUGAAGUAGGCGGAAUGUAGCAUGUAGCGGUGAUAUGCAUAGAGAUGCUACAGAACACCGAUCGCGAAGGCAGCUUACUAAGCCGAUAUUGACGCUCAGGCACGAAAGCGUGGGGGGCGAACAGGAUUAGAUACCCGGGUAGUC
rnacentral:rRNA from 1 species